UUCAGUUAAAAAAUAAUAACUAGCUUGAUAUUAUUUUGAUAAAAGAGGAUCAACAGUGAAAAUGCAAAAACAAUUCAUUGUAGCAUUUUUGUUAGUAUCUCUAUUUAGCGUGACUCUUUCUAAACACUAUAUAAUCAACGGUCCCAAUGGCGAAAAAAUUCCAUUUGUCGAUGAAAGCUUCGGAGUGCCCGUUGUGAAUAGUGAUAAUGAAGAAAACGUGAAGGACGAACCUAGUGA